AUACGGAGGAUCCGAGCGUUAUCCGGAUUUAUUGGGUUUAAAGGGUGCGCAGGCGGCCAUUUAAGUCAGCGGUUAAAUCGUGGGGCUCAACCCCAUUCUGCCGUUGAUACUGGGUGGCUUGAUUGCGGCCGAGGUUGGCGGAAUUCGUUGUGUAGCGGUGAAAUGCAUAGAUAUGACGAAGAACACCGAUUGCGUAGGCAGCUGACCAGACCGCAAAUGACGCUCAUGCACGAAAGUGCGGGGAUCGAACAGGAUUAGAUACCCUGGUAGUCCGCACAGUAAACGAUGAAUACUUGUUUUCGGCGAUAUAAUGUCGGAGGCAAAGCGAAAGCGAUAAGUAUUCCACCUGGGGAGUACGCCGGCAACGGUGAAACUUAAAGGAAUUGACGGGG
rnacentral:rRNA from 1 species